rnacentral:misc_RNA from 1 species
GAUGAAGAACGCAGCGAAAUGCGAUAAGUAAUGUGAAUUGCAGAAUUUAGUGAAUCAUCGAAUGUUUGAACGCACAUUGCGCCCCCUGGCAUCCCGGGGGACAUGCCUGUUCGAGCGUCACAAAACCCAAUCACACUCGCUGUGGUCAUGGCGGGAACGAGUACGUCCGAGGGCGUUCGCUCCGCUGAAAUGGAUGGUGCUGGAUGGAGUCCCGAUGAUCGAACGUAGUAACUCUACAUCCGUCCGAUCGUUGGACUUUUGACCUUGCCCCCGACGAUUGGAGAUCUCCCAUAUCUCCCACUUUUGAAGGUUGACCUCGAAUCAGGUAGGGAUACCCGCUGAACUUAAGCAUAUCAAUAAGCGGAGGA